rnacentral:rRNA from 1 species
AAGAUCCGGCUUCGUACGUGACCUGCGGAGGAUCAUUAUCGUAAAACCGAGGUGCAAGGGCUGUCGCUGACCUUCCAAAGGUCGUGCACGCUCGAGCGCUCUCACCACAAUCCAUCUCACCCCUUUUGUGCAUCACCGCGUGGGUCCUCCUUUGCGGGAGGGCUCGCGUUUUCACAUAAAACUUGACACAGUCUAGAAUGUUUUAUUUUUGCCGUAACACGCAAUCAAUACAACUUUCAACAACGGAUCUCUUGGCUCUCGCAUCGAUGAAGAACGCAGCGAAAUGCGAUACGUAAUGUGAAUUGCAGAAUUCAGUGAAUCAUCGAAUCUUUGAACGCACCUUGCGCCCCUUGGCAUUCCGAGGGGCACACCCGUUUGAGUGUCGUGAAAUUCUCAAAAGUCCUUUUCUUUGAUCGGAAUAGGUCUUUUGGACUUGGAGGUUCAAUGCUCGCAUUCACCUUUGAAAGCGAGCUCCUCUCAAAUGAAUUAGUGGGGUCCGCUUUGCUGGUCCUUGACGUGAUAAGAUGUUUCUACGUUUUGGAUCUGGCACUGUUUUCUCCGCUCCCAACCGUCUCACGGACAACGAUGGUGCUUCGGUCGCUGCCAUAAAAUGGCAGAAGGCUGGACCCACAAAAAACCUUGACCUCAAAUCGGGUGAGACUACCCGCUGAACUUAAGCAUAUCUAA